ensembl:lncRNA
GUUAGUGAAAACAUUCUGAAGAAAACAUCUUUUGCCUAAACCAGAACAUUUUCUUUGUUCUUCUAUCCAAUUAAACAUCAGUUUAUCUCCUUGAUUGCUCAGAUGAAUGGUCUCAAUGCUUUCAGCUGGAGUUGCUCAAGUAAGAAAGGUUUCUGUUUACUCUUCGGUUAGGAAGUUUUCCUAGUAAUUCUUAAACAACUGGAGGACACCUUGUUCAUCCAUACACCAGAGAUAACCUCGUGCAGCUCUGAAGUCUGCAGCCUCUCUAACUUCUGAGCAAUUGGAAUAGAAAGAUGUUUAGGCUUCUUCUGGUGUUGCGGUUAUAAAUGAAAUCAUGGAAUUUACUCAUGAAGUCAGUAGACAGUUUAUUUCCACUAGGCUAAAAAAGGACUGCAAGAUCAAGCUGGGAUACUUUCCUGUCUGGACAAUUACUUACCUUAUGCAUCUCUACAUGGGAGGAAAUAGUACUGAUUUCAAAACGUAUCUGGUGAAGAUGAAGAAAACACUGCAUAAAGACAAGAAUGAAAUAGUUGAAAUAAGAUCCUCUGGAUCAUUUAUAAAAUCUAAUCUGACUCUGACCAGAAUAUUCCUGUAGUUCAUCAGGGUUUGACUCCUACGUGGAAAAAAUUUUAGCAUCUAGCUACUCUGCUGGCACCUGUAAUAAAGGUGGGGGUAGCAGGAGGGGCAGGUCACAGUGCUGGAAGUGCCACCCUCUCACCUUUCUCUGAGAGCAUGAACAAGAUCUUCACUUUCUCACCUACUGUUACUUCUCCCUCAGAGAGAAAAAUACAAGGUAGGACAGAUUUUCUUCACACUCAAAAAGGUGACUGAACUAAUUCACCUCACGCAGUAAUUGAAUACAAAACCUUAAGUAUAAGAAAAAGAAAUGUUCUGGUAGCCCUGAAAUUACAGCUUUUGUUGCUUUUGUGAAAAUUAAACUGUAACUGGAAAAUGAGAAAAGUAGCUGCAAUAUCUGUAUUCACAAGACAUCUUCGUGAUCAUGUUUUUUGUUUACUAUAGUAGCCAAGGUAGAUGCUUCCAAGUGAAAGGCAAAAAGCAUUAGAGAUAGAUGACUGGAAAAUAUUCUUCUGAAAACUGUACAACCUAAGACCUCAUUAAAAUGAAGAUUUUCACAGAAUUUUUCUAUACUGAAAUACUGUGAAUAAAGUGCAACACUUUCUAUUCUACUGCCUGUAUACAGUCUAACUGGUGAAAAUUGAGUUUUUUUAAUUUAAUUUUUAUCAGCUGCAAAAUUGUGUUAAAGACAUUGUUAAAGAUGUUCCUCUGGCAUCCUACUUCUGUUAUUUCUUUGAAUUUUCAAACAUCUUUAUUUAAUUUAUUUAAUUUUUGCUUCUUAUUAUUUUCAUUUGUUUUUCUAAAGAAAUUACUGCCUUUGUUCUUCAUGUAGACCUAACAAUAUGCCUAGAAAAUGUUGCAAUAUUUUUAUUUAAGGACUUGAUAUACUGAAGAUGUACAGUGUACUCUUUUUUCUUUGCGUAUUGUAUAAUUGAUUUGUGUACAGAUAUAUAAAAAUGAGAAGACAUAU